GGGCUCACUUAGGCAUCAUGUAUACUAAGUCUGAAAUGAUACAGACAGAAGCAUGGACCCUAUACAAGGAUGAAAUAAAAAUUCAUGCUGUAUUCCACAUUUUG
rnacentral:snRNA from 1 species